GUUCUAAUACUUUUGAGCUACUGAAUCUGAUCCAGGACAGCUUACCUUUGGACACUGACUAGAAACCUGUAUUCCUUAAGUGCCUAAGAUCCCUGGUGCCAAGACACUUGGGGACCUCUGAUCCACAGGACCUAACGGCACCCACAGCACAUGGUAAGUGCUUUGCUUAUUGAGUGAAUUCACAGAGUAAGGUCAGUCAGUCCAUUAUUUAUUCAAGGAUUUUUGGAAAGUUGAAAAAAGCAUGGCUUGACUAAUGACAGAAUAAAAUUUAAUAGGACUCAUAUACAGUUCUGGUAAAAUAAGAUAAAGUUUUCAGCCACUACUAAGAGAUUUUUAUUUUUUUUAAUAAUAAAAAAAGAAGAUUACACAGACAUCCCCCAUUAUUAUGUGUUUGUUUCUCUCUUGAAAGUCUGCCUUCUGGCA
ensembl:lncRNA novel transcript